AUUAAAGGCACGCCUGCCCAGUGAACAAUUUAACGGCCGCGGUAUCCUAACCGUGCAAAGGUAGCAUAAUCAUUUGUCUACUAAUUAUAGACCAGCAUGAAAGGCAAAAUGAGGGUCUGACUGUCUCUUAUAAUUAAUCAAUUAAACUGAUCUCCCAGUAAAAAAGCUGGGAUAACCACAUAAGACCAGAAGACCCUGUGAAGCUUAAACUACACUAUUAAAUCCUAUAAUAGCCACUUUCGGUUGGGGCGACCUUGGAAAAAAAAAGAACUUCCAAACAAAUGAUAUAUAUAUACAUCACCAACUUAGGCCCACAAGCCACCUAACGACCCAGCAUAGCUGAUUAUUGAACCAAGUUACUCCAGGGAUAACAGCGCAAUCCUCUUCAAGAGCCCAUAUCAAAAAGAGGGUUUACGACCUCGAUGUUGGAUCAGGACAUCCUGAUGGUGCAGCCGCUAUCAAGGGUUCGUUUGUUCAACGACUAAUGUCCUACGUGAUCUGAGUUCAGACCGGAAUUGUUCAACGAUUAAAACCCUACGUGAUCUGAGUUCAGACCGGAG
rnacentral:rRNA from 1 species